ensembl:lncRNA
ACAGAACCACAAGUUGGGUAGCCUGGCAGUGUCAGAAGUCUGAGCCCGGCAUAGUGGUCAGCAAGCAGGACGAAUCACACUGACUGCAAACCACAGGGUUUCGCAGAGUUCUGAUGAUCUCCAUCCCACAGCCAAGACGCCGCUUUUUUUUUUUUUUUUUUUAAUCUUUACCAAUUUGAAUAUUUGUCUUCGCAAAGGUAAAAGAAAUCAUUGAAUCCCCCGCCUUCAGAAGAGGGUACCUUUUCAGGAGGAAGCGAUGGCUUCAGACAGCAUAUUUGAGUCAUUUCCUUCAUACCCACAGUGCUUCAUGAGAGGUGAGUACACUCUGGGCUUUUAAUAUCUACUUUUGCUCAGCUUUGCUGAUAAUGAGGUGGCAGCCUAUUGUAACUUGGUGCAGAGAGAGCCCCUGCCGGUUCCCUGUCUGUUUGGUAGGAGGAAUUCAGACUCGGGCAUAUGAUUUCAAGACUAUUGGAUUACUUAUUCAUCAGAUGGCCACUCUUCAGAAAUGUUUUCAUAAGUACUUAGUUAAGCUGUUGAAGGGUUCAGUCGGUGGGUGAGAACUUUGUCAAGUGCAAGUAAGUUGGGCUGCUCCUGAUUAAAAUCCUAGAGAUUAGAAAGUUUGCAGGAAGCUUUCUGGGUUUUCUUCGGUUGCCCCUUGCCUGGGAUGACUGGGGCUGAGUUGCCCUGCGCUGGGCAUGUAGUAUGCCCCGCAUGCCAGCCUGUCCCGGGCUUUAGUGGGCUCAUGCCCGGUCAGCCAGGAGGGCCGGUGCCAGCGGAGGGCAGAGGCGGAGGUAGGCUCACAGCCCGGGCGGGAACAGCAGGGACAAAGUAGCAAGUCAGUUGUCUCCAAAAGGCAGAGAGAACAGGAGCUGGGCAGACUUGUGUAGGUUGAAAGCCCUAGGAUGGGGCCAUGCUGGGUUGUUCCUUGCAGCCUCAGUGCAAAGAGGCAGCCGGCUUCUUCUGAGAGAGAAAGAAAGCAAAGAGUACAGAGGUUUCUCUCGCCAAGAGCAAUGAAAAAGUUGCCUAAGUCAAGCGUUUGUGGCAGCUGAAGUCAUUAGAUUACCCGUUUCCUAAUAGGAGCAGCUACUGUGGGAUACCUGUCUGCAUUUUUGCAACCAGCCUCUUGAAAUACACAGAGCUGUGGUUGAGCUCUGACUGUAUGAGUACGUGUUUGUGCAUGUGCGUUCUGUGUAUCUUUGCUGGGAAUAUAAACCAACACAAAUAAUAACAUGGAAAUGUCACGGAGGCAUUGCCGUGCGCCGGGGCAAGCACUUUGACCGGUGCCCGCGGAGUGUGGCUUGAUGGUUUGGCAGAGCUGGGAUGGAGUGGGAUGGAUGGGAUGGGGAAAUAAUUAAUUUUCUGGCUACAGACUCUCGCGCGCACCCAAAUAGUAUCUGUGACUCAUUAUUUAUUCAUCAAGCCAAGUGAGCCGAAGAAUGCGGAGGGCUGCCAGGCACUUUGUCACAACAAACGCUAUUGUGGAUGUCACAGAGCUUCUGUGUUUCCGGGUCUCUGAAAUUUAAACACUUGACAAAGAUGUGUGUGUGUGUGUGUGUGUGUGUGUGUGUGUUGGGGGACAGUAGGAUUUCAGAUGGAGAAGAAAGCAAGUCAUUAACGGAUUCAAAGCUUCAAAUUAAAGGGUUUUCAAGUGCUUCUUUACUGGCAGCUGAGGACAUUUUAGUGAAGUUGAAUCAUGCGAUGCGUAUGAGUCACACAUCCUCACGGCGAUGGGCCGAAACGCCGGCCGCUGUUGAGAAGCUGUGGACGACUCUCGCUGCAUUUCCUCUAGGCCGCUAACAAGCAAGGAAGCAAUAUUUGUAGAAUAACA